AUGGAGUCUCCGAGCAAGAGCACCGGUGAUCAUAUUCAUCGCCCGUCAUCUCUGACUCUGAUUCAAAAGGAAGCAGCAGCCGUACGCACCGAUCAAUCCAUGGCCCUGCCUCUGCCCCUGCCCGACGACAUCCUCGCUUGCGUCCUCGGCCGUCUCGCGCCACCCAGCCUCGCCGCGUCCCGCUGCAUCUGCAAAGGCUGGUGCGAGCCGACGGCCGCCGUCGGUUGCGGACGGACCUCCUCUCGCUCUAGCUCUACGGGAUCUUCUUCAUGGAGAUGGACGUCCUCUGCGGGGACCCCCAAAGCUCUUCGCAAACCCGCUGACGAGCCGCAGGAUCGACGCAAACCUUGA
rnacentral:rRNA from 1 species